rnacentral:rRNA from 1 species
CCUACGUGUGGCUGCAGUGGGGAAUAUUGGGCAAUGGGGGAAACUCUGACCCAGCAACGCCGCGUGAAUGAUGAAGGUCUUCGGAUUGUAAAGUUCUUUUCUAAGGGCAGAAGCAAGUGACGUUACCUUAGGAAUAAGCCUCGUCUAACUACGUGACAGCAGCCACGGUAAUACGUAGGAGGCGAGCGUUAGCCGGAAUGACUGGGCGUAAAGGUUGCUUAGGUGGUUUGGCAAGUUAGUCGCGUAAAUCCAAGGCUUAACCUUGGAACUACUACUAAAACUGUUGGACUUGAGUGCAGGAGGGGCAACCGGAAGUCCUAGUGUAGCGGUGGAAUGCGUAGAUAUUAGGAGGAACACCAGUGGCGAAGGCGGGUUGCUAGACUGCAACUGACACUGAGGCACGAAAGCGCGGGGAGCAAACAGGAUUAGAUACCCGAGUAGUC